rnacentral:rRNA from 1 species
UGGGGAAUAUUGGACAAUGGAGGAAACUCUGAUCCAGCAAUUCUGUGUGUGUGAAGAAGGUUUUAGGACUGUAAAACACUUUUAGUAGGGAAGAAAAAAAUGACGGUACCUACAGAAGAAGCAACGGCUAAAUACGUGCCAGCAGCCGCGGUAAUACGUAUGUUGCGAGCGUUAUCCGGAAUUAUUGGGCUUAAAGGGCAUCUAGGCGGUAAGACAAGUUGAAGGUGAAAACCUGUGGCUCAACCAUAGGCUUGCCUACAAAACUGUUGAACUAGAGUACUGGAAAUGUGGGUGGAACUACACGAGUAGAGGUGAAAUUCGUAGAUAUGUGUAGGAAUGCCGAUGAUGAAGAUAACUCACUGGACAGCAACUGACGCUGAAGUGCGAAAGCUAGGGGAGCAAACAGG